UCUCUGGAGGACUAGUGGUUAGGCCUCGGUGCUCUCACCGCCGCGGCACAGGUUCGAUUCCCGGCCAGAGAA
rnacentral:tRNA from 1 species